rnacentral:rRNA from 1 species
UACGUAGGGAGCGAGCGUUGUCCGAAGUUACUGGGCGUAAAGCGCGCGUAGGCGGGCUGUUAAGUGAGAGGUGAUAGGCUGGGGCUUAACCCCAUGCAGUGCCUCUCAUACUGGCGGUCUUGAGUGCGGCAGGGAGAAGUGGAAUGGCUGGUGUAGCGGUGAAAUGCGUAGAUAUCAGUCGGAACACCGGUGGCGAAGGCAGCUCGCUGGGACGUGACUGACGCUGAGACGCGAAAGCGUGGGGAGCAAACAGG